AAUCACUGCUGGAUCUUGGACAGACACAUCUCUCAUUGAGUCCACACAAGGCAAACAAUUUAGAGGUGCAGGACCCACAGGCAGGCAACAAAGUCAGGGGCAACCCUACUCCAGUUGUUUGGGGACCAUCAUAACACCAAGUUCCACAUUUGCUAUGUGUGUGGUGGGGGAGUCUACGUACAGCCCUUAUAUGUUCUGUGGUUAGUGGUUUAUGGUUUGUGCAUAACCAAGAGGCUAUGACAUUUUUAACACCAUUUUCCCUUCCCUUCUCAUACAGCCCUUGUUCUCAUUAUAGUCUCUUUUUUAUUAAUUGCUGUUAUAAAAGGAACACAGAGUAAGAAAAAUACUCUUCCCCGUGAAGACAAUACCAAAUGGCUGCCUACUACCAAAUGCUCUGCUUUAAAGACAAAUGUACAAUAACUCUAUAUAGUAUUAACAUUAUAUUUUUAUAUUUAGGGGUAUAUAAACUAUGUAGAAUGCUGAGAUUAUUAAAUUAAGAUAUUUAUAAAACAUAAAAAUAUGUGAAAUAAAGAUAUAUGUAUGUGAAAUAUAUUUUUUAAAUCACAUAUGUGUUCUGAAGAAAAAAUGUUUCAGAUCAACUUGCCUUUUGGUCAUAAAAGUCAACUUGAACUUUGGUUUGUGUAUUAGUCACUGUACUACUGUUCUGGAGAGACACUAUGAACAAGUGAAAUCUUAGAAAAAAAAAGAAAGAAAAUAUUUAGUCAGGGACUUAUUUAGAGUUUCAGAGGGAGUCAAUGAGCAUGGGAGCAUACAGGCAGGCAUGGUGCUGGAUAAGAAGCAGCUGAGAGUUGAGAAGAGAGGAGAGGAGAGACAGAGAGAGAGAGACAGAGAGAGAGAGAGAGAGAGAGAGAGAGAGAGAGAGAGAAUGGGCUUUUGAAAUGUCAAAGCUCAUCCCCAAUGAUACACUUCCUCCAAGAAGGCCACAGUUCCUUAUUUAUCUCAAACAGAUCCACUUACUGGGAUCCAAGCAUUUAAACAUAUUAGCUUAUGAGUGCCAUGCUCACUCAAUCUAUUACACCCUGUGUAACAUAAAUUAAAAUAAUCCUGCUCACUAUUGAGUUAAAAAGGAGAAGUAUAAAGUUUAAGCUUUAUUAUGGACUAUAUUUUUCCUUUUCAUGAAACUCUCCAGAGCUGAGGGCUACUAAAAUUUUCCAUUUUUUCCUUUUAGAUUCUGAAUUUCUGAGUAUUUAAAGUUUCUCUAGUGUUGUGUUUAUGCAAAAGAAACAUUAUUGCAAUAUAAUUUUCUUUUCCUAACAAGAACAAACCACGUGAACAUUUGUGUUUCUAGUUCUUCCCUUUCUUGACAACAUGGAAUAACUUCUUACCCACCACUGUUUGAAAACAUAAAAGACAACUGUGGACUUUAGUGAACUCUUCAGAAAUACAUGAGAGAAAAGUUAGAGGGUCAUGCUUUGGAACAGGAUCCAAAAGCUGAGUGGCUUCAAUCCAUUUUCUUCUGUAUCACCACGGGGCUUGAAGUUUUGCAAAGGGAAAAUGUCAAGUUGGCAUCGGAGUAGCUCAUUAGCUGUUCAUUUCUGCUUUCCUUGCACUGCUUUGUUAACUGCCCAUCAAAAUUCAGUGUGUAGCUGUAGGCCUGUUGCAAGCAAUCUGCAAAGAGAUCACUCACAAGCAUGCAUUACUUAUGGAUCACUUGAAAGUAUGAAGGAUUUAGCAAGGACAGAAAAAUGCAUUUAGCAUCUAUUGGUGACUUAUUUUAAAAUUAGAAAGUAAAUCACUUUUUUUUUCCUGUAUGCUAUGAAACAGAGGACAUUGUUUUCCUGGUAGAAUAUUGAGAAAAUCAGACAAAACUAACAACUUUGGUUCUAAUUUACAUUUAAUGUAUCAGUAUACAUUCAAUUUUUCAAAAUAUAAUUUUCUUUAUAUAAACUUAAAUAUUAAACAUACCUAUGCUACAUAUGUAGGAAUUUAUUUUGAGUUCUUGAGUAGAUUUUACCUCUAGAAGAUUUAUUCUUACAUUUAAAAAUUAUGUAUACAUAAUUAUCAAUUGCCUCUUCCCUUCCCAUGCUAUAUGUAUUAUAUCUUUUAAAAGAAUUAGGUCAAGCCUCUGAAAAAGUAAUAUCUAAUAUUUAGUUUUGAAGGAGAAAUGCUUAACUUUUUUAUAUAAAUUGCAAAUGGUCAGCUAUUCCUAUUUUGCUGUGAAAGAGAAAAUUAUAUUUUCCCAGAAGUAUUAAAUAAAAUAUAAAAUAUAUUUGUUACCUUGAAUAUCUCUUAUAAAUUUUGAAUUGGCCACACUUUGGAUUCAUGGAGAAGCUGGAGUCAGCGAUCUUUACGUGUGUCAUCUUAAGUGAAUGAUACCCACAUUUCCAGGAACUUCAAGAAAUUUUACUGUCCUUCUUAUUAAUGCUAAAUCUCUAGUUGAAAUGAGUCAGGGACAGCUGCUUCACAUCACAAGCACAUCUGAAGAGGCUGGAUGCUUGCCUGUGGGAUUCUUAAGAAAAGAGAAAAAAAGUUCAAUGAAAAUUAACACCUUAUUCUCCAUUUGAAUGGCAAUAAACAAUAAUUAUUAAUGUGGAACAUUUCAGAAUGCAAAGAUAUAUUAGUUUCUCCUUUUAAUUCACUUUUCACAUUUGGAUUAUGUUUUUACCUUUCCCUAAUUAAAGUACUCCUAGAACUUUGCCACCUGCCUACCUAUUAAACUUCAUGCUCUCACUCUUUCUAUCUGAACACACACACACACAUUAAUAAAAUCUCAGCAAACUGAAGCCAAUGAGACAAAAAUAUCUGAAAUAAAUUAAAAUGC
rnacentral:lncRNA from 1 species